UAGUAGAGACAUAAAGCAUAGAAGGUGUGAAUAAGCAGAGAAGUGAGAGAGAUGGAGGGGGAGAAGAAGAGGCGUCUGGUAUUGAUUCACGGAGCCUACCAUGGAGCCUGGUGUUGGUACAAAGUCUCUACUCUCCUCAAUUCCGCCGGACUCCAAGUCACGUCACUCGACAUGCCUGCGUCCGGCAUCGAUCCAAAGCAGGUGCUUGACAUCACUUCAGUUUCAGAAUAUGUUGAACCUUUGUUCCAAUUUCUACGUUCUUUGCCAGCAGAGGAACGAGUCAUCCUUGUGGGUCAUAGUUUUGGAGGCUUAUGCAUUUCUCUAGCCAUGGAAUCCUUCCCCCACAAAAUCGCUGCUGCGGUUUUCCUUACCGGUUGGAUGCCAGGUCCCCACCUCAGCUAUCUCUCACUGAUGCAAGAGUUCAAGCACAGGUUAAGCUUGAAAUUCAAUUUGGGCGCAAAGACUGUGUCUGAUGAAAAUACUAACAGUGAUGAUCCGAAGCCAUAUAUGACAUGUGAUCUUCAAAACUUAGCAUCCAACGUCUACCAACAAUCUCCACCCGAGGACCUGACCCUGGCGUUUUCACUUUUGAGACCCUUUCCCAUCUUCGGUGAUGAAGAUUUGCGAGAGAAUACACAACUCACGGAAGAAAAGCAUGGAACUGUGGCGAGAGUGUAUAUAGUGUGCGAACAAGACAAAAUAAUGGAGCAGGAUUUUCAAGUGUCGAUCGUUGAAAGAAAUCCUCCUAAUGAGGUUAAGGUGAUUGCUGGAGCUGAUCACAUGCCCAUGUUGUCUAAACCGCAAGAGCUUUUCUCUUACCUUCAACAGAUUGCCGACAACUAUUACUAGCAUUUCAGUGUUGAAUUUAUUUCUGCAAUUAUGUGUGAUCACCAUAAAGAUCAGCAAAUCAAUUUUAUUAUGGUUACCAGGUUUAGGUAUCACUUCUGGGGAGAUACAACACCAAUGAGACCUGAGCUCAACCACAUAAGGUAUUGAUACCACUCUCAACCUAAAACCUUAAGACAAUGAGUUUAUGGGUCUUUAUUCUUAUGUAGUGCUCCACUUUCUCAUUUCUAGCAAAUGUGGGACUUAGAAUCACACUUGA